rnacentral:tRNA from 2 species
GGAGAGAUGGCCGAGCGGUUGAAGGCGCUGGUCUUGAAAACCAGUGAUGUCGCAAGACACCGGGGGUUCGAAUCCCUCUCUCUCCGCCA